GACACGGAGGAAAGGUAAGUCCUAUAAAUCUACUUUUAUUCAUAGAUUUUAACUGAUACAACGGUAAAUGCCAUCAAAGAGGAGUAGUGUUUUGUAUUUUUGUAGGUUUUCUCUUUCAAUUUAAUAAAUAAAUGCUCUGUUUGGUUAAUUAGCUCAAAAGCAGUCUCAGAGGUGGUCUAAGGUAACGUUAACUGUAAAAAUCGAAUAUAACCUUACCUGUUUUACAUUAUUUGAAAUUUAUCACUAUAAACUAUACAGUAUUAACUUUCUAAUUAUUCAAUUUUUAACCGUAGUAACGUUAAUUAGUUUGUUUGAAUACCUGCUGCUGGAGCUGGAUGAUGCUCAUGCUAUCCAUGCUGUGAACUUGAAUAUAAUCCGAUAUAACGUUAAAUAUAAAGUUUAACGUUAAUUAGACCGAGGCUGCCGAAAUCAUGUUCAGUGUAAGGUUAUGUAGGGUUAAUAAUUUCCCCUUUUCUCCCUCAAGUGGCAGGCUUGUAAAUUCUGUCAUCUGUUCAUUAUUGGUGUUAAUGGUGUUUUUCACAUGCAUGCUUUUUAAUGCUAGUUUAAUUCUCAAAUUGAUCUGAUACUUUCGUUUCACAAAAAGUAAACAAAUUGUUCACUUUUUUAGGGCCUGACAACCACCAGUUGAGUCCAUGAUUCAGGGAAGAGACAGUCUGGGCAGCAGCAACAAGACAACUAUUACAAGUAGAGAUGGUUUUCAAGAACUGGUACUAAUUUGGUUCCUGACUUGUUCAGUACUGAAAACAUUUACAUAAGACACAACCACAUAUCCUCCAAAUCAUCUCUGCGUGGAUGGCAGCAAGGAUCCAGGAUCAAGAGAUCAUUCUUCAUGGAGACUGUUCCACAGGAAGCAGUUUCUCCUGGAUUUGAGGGAAAGAUUAAAAACAAGGAGGUCUGGGAAUGACUGAAGGGAUCUGACAGCAGUGCGGGAAGGAAGUAAUCACCAGAAUCUCAGAGGAUGUUGACAGUGCAGGCUCAGGAUGAAGAAGAGGAGGAAGAACACGUUUAACAAUUUUCUCAUAAGCUUGCCAUGUGUUAUAAUAAAAACAAUGAACAUGGCUACAAUAAUAUGCUAAAUGUUAUUAAAAGAUUCCAGUUUGCAAGAAGUCUGAGUGUCUGACUCUACACUAGAGGAACUCUUUUCUGAAGAAGAUCAGGUGCUGAGAAGAAGCCUUGUUCUACAGCAAAACACUGCAUCAAGCCUCCUGUCCUUCCCUCAGAAGAGCCUGUCUUCUGCUGCUGGGGUAAGAAACACACUCUUCCUCUUCUCUAUCAGCUGUCCAGCACCUAACUCUGCCUCCUCAGCACUGUCUGAAAGAGUCUUCUCCACAGUCAGUAAUCAGAGAUCACAGAUUCUUCUGAGAAAGUCGAUAUGCUCAUUUUCUUAAAAAACUUUGUUUUUUCGGGUGGGACAAAUAAUACAGGAGAGAUGCUAGAAAUCUCUAUAUUGUUCAUUUUUCAUAUCUUUUCGCUUUAUGAAUGUUUUUCUUCUGAGAAGCUCAAAAAUUAUGGUUCUUUGGUAAUUGCUUUAUUGUUUAGGUUUAUCCUCUGAUAGUGAGCACAGAGCCCUGAUCAUGACAUGCAAGAAAAAGAAAGAAAUCAUGUCCAUGAUUUACUAAUUUGUUCCCUCGAUGUACUGAAACGUGCACGAUUACUUUUACAUUUCAUUGAUUUGCUAAAUCGUAUGCACAAUUUACUAAUUCGUUCUCUUGAUGUAUAAAUAGUGUACACGUUUUAGCAAAUCGAGGGAAUGAAAUAGAAAAUCGUGUGCAUGAAUUAGCCAAAAAAUUUUUCCUGCAUGUCAUGUAAUUAAAGCACAUCACCACCAGACAUUUAUACCAGGAGCCUCAUAUACAACGCUCACAGUUUUACUUUGUGCAGUAUCUCUGUGCAGUAUCUGCUGAAUUGUUUCAUAUCUAUUUAUCAUGUAUUUUUUGUUGCACUAAAUUAUGUUGUAUCAAUAAGUUUACUGAUAAUUAUUUAUAAUUUUCACUGAUAACGUCAUUAACCAUCUCCCCAUCCUUAAGACAAACAUUUUCUGUUGUUCAUAUUGUGUAAUCUAUGAAUUGAUGUGUUUAGUUUUCUGUGCUCAUAACUUAGUAACAUUUUGCAUGGUUAAAGAACAGGUGCAAUGUUCAAAAUGUUUUGGCUUCGUAUUUUUAGAAAGUAGUGCUGAAUAAAUAUUGAUUUGUGAAUGAA